CUAAAAUCCACAUAUUUCAAAGUCUUAUAACUUUUUAUUUUUGUCCUCACUGGCCUCCAAGUUUUCUAGGAUGAUGCAAUGUCCAGCCAUCAACACAUUUGUGAAGGAAUUUUUACUCCCCAAAAGAGCGCCCCCCCCAUGGCAGGAGAAAAAAGUCCAUUUUUUCUUGUCCCCUAAGGUGGAAAUUCACACUAUUGACUGUCACGCCUGUACGCUUUAUCAUAUUGACACAAAAAUUGACACACAUAUGUAUCUCAAUAAGAUCUACAAAAAAGUCAAUUCGUGCGUAUCUGUCAAAUGUACGGUUAAAGGGCUAUUUUGCAUUUUUUGCCGAUUCGCACACAUUGGAAUGUGGCUAACUCCUCCUAAGGCUUUCGUCCCACUGACACCAAAUUUGCUCAGGCCAAUCUACACCCCAUGGCCAUUCAAAGUUGUAAAAAUCAUGACGCUGCACCCCACGGUUUACGUUCUAGGGGGCGCCAAAGAUGACCCAAAAAUCCACAUUCUUAAAAGAAUCCACAUCCCCCCCCCUAUGGCAGGAGAAAAAGUCAAGUUUUUCCUGCCCAUCGCUCAAUGGCUCAAUCGCAUCGCUCUCCAGGCAACACCGUAAGGAGGAGCAACCUGGCAUUUCGAUAUAUCAUAGCUGUGUUUGUGCCCUCACUCAUGGUCCAGACUUUUUUCAAAUAGGACAUGAAGUUUGUCUGCAGCGAGUGUUUUGGUAGAAACUGCGCCUCCCAUUCAUUAUAAUGGGAAAUGACCACAGACAAGUGCGCACACCAUCUUUGGUUCUUGAGUGUGACUCGAUCGGGACGGGGAGGCGGUCGCACUGGGGGCGGCGCGACGCGGCUCGGGCCCGACAGUGCCCCACCGGGGCCCUAGUUAGGGCCCGAGCGUAGCUGCUAAGCAGCUGCGAGAGCCCUAUUAUUCCUGAUGGAUUCUUCUUAGGGCCCGAGCGUAGCUGCUAAGCAGCUGCGAGAGCCCUAUUAUUCCUGAUGGAUUCUUCUUUUGUUAUUAUUAUUAUUUUUCCUCCGCUUUAAACUGGAAAAUGGCCCACUUCCCACUGGCGAAAACUCAUGAAAUUUGGCAGGACGACCAGGCCUGGUGAAAAAUUCGAUAUUCUGAAGUCGCCCAAACAAUAAAAUGCAAAAUGGCUCCAUAGCGCCCCCUAAGGUGAAAAUUCACACUAUUGACUGUCACGCCUGUACGCUUUGUCAAAAUGACACAAAAAUUGACACACACAUGUAUCUCAAUAAGAUCUACAAAAAAGUCAGUGCGGGCAUAUCUGUUAAAUGUACGGUUAAAGGGUUAUUUCGCAUUUUUUGCCGAUCCGCACACAUUGAAAUUUCGCUAACUCCUCCGAAGGCUUUCGUUCCACCGGCACCACAUUUGCUCAGGCCAAUCUACACCCCAUGGCCAUCGAAAGUUGUACAAAUCAUGACGCUGCACCCCACGGUUUAGGUUCUAGGGGGCGCCAAAGAUAACCAAAAAAUCCACAUUCUUAAAAGUCUUAUAACUUUUUAUUUUUUUCCUCACUGGCCUCCAAGUUCUCUAGGAUGAUGCAAUGUCCAGCCAUCAACACAUUUGUGAAGGAAUUUUUACUCCCCAAAAGAGCGCCCCCACGUGGCAGGAGAAAAAAGUCCAUUUUUUCUUGUCCCCUAAGGUGAAAAUACACAUUGUUGACUGUCACGCCUGUACGCUUUGUCAUAUUGACACAAAAAUUGACACACACAUGUAUCUCAAUAAGAUCUACGAAAAAGUCAAUGGGCACGUAUCUGUAAAAUGUACGGUUAAAGGGCUAUUUUGCAUUUUUUGCUGAUUCGCACACAUUGGAAUGUGGCUAACUCGUCCUACAGCUUUCGUCCCACUGACACCAAAUUUGCUCAGGCUAAUCUACACCCCAUGGCCAUUCAAAGUUGUAAAAAUCAUGACGCUGCACCCCACGGUUUACGUUCUAGGGGGCGCCAAAGAUGACCCAAAUAUCCAUAUUCUUAAAAGUGUUAUAACUUUUUAUUUUUGUCCUCACUGGCCUCCAAGUUUUCUAGGAUGAUGCAAUGUCCAGCCAUCAACACAUUUGUAAAGGAAUUUUUACUCCCGAAAAAGAGCGCCCCCCCCCAUGGCAGGAGAAAAAAGUCAAUUUUUUCUUGUCCCCUAAGGUGAAAAAACACAUUGUUGACUGUCACGCCUAUACGCUUUGUCAAAAUGACACAAAAUUUGACACACACGUGUAUCUCAAUAAAAUCUACGAAAAAGUCAAUGGGCACGUAUCUGUAAAAUGUACGGUUAAAGGGCUAUUUCGCAUUUUUUGCCGAUUCGCACACAUUGGAAUGUGGCUAACUCCUCCUAAGGCUUUCGUCCCACCGGCACCACAUUUGCUCAAGCCGAUCUACAUCCCAUGGCCAUUCAAAGUUGUAGAAAUCAUGACGCUGCUCCCCACGGUUUACGUUCUAGGGGGCGCCAAAGAUGACCCUAAAAUCCACAUAUUUCAAAGUCUUAUAACUUUUUAUUUUUGUCCUCACUGGCCUCCAAGUUUUCUAGGAUGAUGCAAUGUCCAGCCAUCAACACAUUUGUGAAGGAAUUUUUACUCCCCAAAAGAGCGCCCCCCCAUGGCAGGAGAAAAAAGUCAAUUUUUUCUUGUCCCCUAAGGUGAAAAUUCACAUUGUUGAGUGUGACACCUGUACGCUUUGUCAUAUUGACACAAAAUUUGACAAUCACGUGUAUCUCAAUAAGAUCUACGAAAAAGUCAAUGCACGCGUAUCUGUCAAAUGUACGGUUAGAGGGCUAUUUUGCAUUUUUUGCCGAUUCGCACACAUUGGAAUGUGGCUAACUCCUCCUAAGGCUUUCGUUCCACCGGCACCAAAUUUGCUCAGGCCAAUCUACACCCCAUGGCCAUUAAAAGUUGUACAAAUCAUGACGCUGCACCCCACGGUUUAGGUUCUAGGGGGCGCCAAAGAUAACCCAAAAAUCCACAUUCUUAAAAGUCUUAUAACUUUUUAUUUUUGUCCUCACUGGCCUCCAAGUUUUCUAGGAUGAUGCAAUGUCCAGCCAUCAACACAUUUGUAAAGAAAUUUUAACUCUCCAAAAGAGCGCCCCCCCAUGGCAGGAGAAAAAAGUCCAUUUUUUCUUAUCCCGAAAGGUGAAAAUACACGUUGUUGACUGUCACGCCUUUACGCUUUGUCAUAUUGACAAAAAAUUUGACAAUCACAUGUAUCUCAAUAAGAUCUAUGAAAAAGUCAACGGGCACGUAAGUGUAAAAUGUACUGUUAAAGGGCUAUUUUGCAUUUUUUGCCGAUUCGCACACAUUGGAAUUUUGCUAACUCCUCCUAAGGCUUUCGUUCCACCGGCACCACAUUUGCACAGGCCAAUCUACACCCCAUGGCCAUUAAAAGUUGUACAAAUCAUGACGCUGCACCCCACGGUUUAGGUUCUAGGGGGCGCCAAAGAUAACCCAAAAAUCCACAUUCUUAAAAGUCUUAUAACUUUUUAAUUUUGUCCUCACUGGCCUCCAAGUUUUAUAGGAUGAUGCAAUGUCCAGCCAUCAACACAUUUGUGAAGGAAUUUUUACUCCCCAAAAGAGCGCCCCCAUGGCAGGAGAAAAAAGGCAAUUUUUUCUUGUCCCCUAAGGUGAAAAUACACAUUGUUGAGUGUCACACCUAUACGCUUUGUCAUAUUGACACAAAAUUUGACAAUCACGUGUAUCUCAAUCAGAUCUACGAAAAACUCAAUAGGCACGUAUCUGUAAAAUGUACGGUUAAAGGGCUAUUCCGCAUUUUUUGCCGAUCCGCACACAUUGGAAUGUGGCUAACUCCUCCUAGGGCUUUCGUCCCAUUGGCACCAAAUUUGCUAAGGCCAAUCUACACCCCAUGGCCAUUCAAAGUUGUAAAAAUCAUGACGCUGCACCCCACGGUCUACGUUCUAGGGGGCGCCAAAGAUAACCCAAAAAUCCACAUUCUUAAAAGUCUAAUAACCUUUUAUUUUUGUCCUCACUGGCCUCCAAGUUUUCUAGGAUGAUGCAAUGUCCAGCCAUCAACACAUUUGUGAAGGAAUUUUUUCUCCCCAAAAGAGCGCCCCCCUAUGGCAGGAGAAAAAGUCAAGUUUUUCCUGCCCAUCGCUCAAUGGCUCAAACGCAUCGCUCUCCCGGCAAAACCGAAAGGAGGAGCAACUUGCCAUUUGGAUAUAUACUAGCUGUGUUUGUGCCCUCACUCAUGGUCCAGACUAUUUUCAAAAAGGACAUGGAGUUUGUCUGCAGCGAGCGUUUUGGUAGAAACUGCGCCUCCCAUUCAUUAUAAUGGUAAAUGACCACAGACAAGUGCGCACACCUUCUUUGGACCUUGAGUGUGACGCAAUCGGGAGGGGGAGGCGGUCGCGCUGGGGGCGGCGCGACACGGCUCGGGCCCGCCAGUGCCCCACCGGGGCCCUAGUCUUCUUAUUAUUUUUCUGCCCCUUUGAACUGGAAAAUGGCCCACUUCCCACUGGUGAAAAGUCAUGAAAUUUGGCAGGACGACCGGGCCUGGUGAAAAAUUCGAUAUUCUGAAGUCGCCCAAAAAAUCAAAUGCAAAAUGGCUCCAUAGCGCCCCCUAAGGUGAAAAAUUCACAUGAUUGAGUGUCACGCCUGUACGCUUUGUCAAAAUGACACAAAAUUUGACACACACGUGUAUCUCAAUAAGAUCUACAAAAAAGUCAGUGCGGGCGUAUCUGUCAAAUGUACGGUUAAAGGGCUAUUUCGCAUUUUUUGCCGAUCCGCACACAUUGGAAUUUCGCUAACUCCUCCGAAGGCUUUCGUUCCACCGGCACCAAAUUUGCUCAGGCCAAUCUACACCCCAUGGCCAUUAAAAGUUGUACAAAUCAUGACGCUGCAUCCCACGGUUUACGUUCUAGGGGGCGCCAAAGAUAACCCAGAAAUCCACAUUCUUAAAAGUCGUAUAACUUUUUAUUUUUGUCCUCACUGGCCUCCAAGUUUUCUAGGAUGAUGCAAUGUCCAGCCAUCAACACAUUUGUGAAGGAAUUUUUACUCCCCAAAAGAGCGCCCCCCCAUGGCAGGAGAAAAAAGUCCAUUUUUUCUUGUCUCCUAAGGCGAAAAUUCACACUAUUGACUGUCACGCCUUUACGCUUUGUCAUAUUGACACAAAAAUUGACACACACAUGUAUCUCAAUAAGAUCUACAAAAAAGUCAGUGCGGGCGUAUCUGUCAAAUGUACGGUGAAAGGGCUAUUUCGCAUUUUUUGCCGAUCCGCACACAUUGGAAUUUCGCUAACUCCUCCGAAGGCUUUCGUUCCAAAGGCACCACAUUUGCUGAGGCCAAUCUACACCCCAUGGCCAUUAAAAGUUGUACAAAUCAUGACGCUGCACCCCACGGUUUACGUUCUAGGGGGCGCCAAAGAUAACCCAAAAAUCCACAGUCUUAAAAGUCUUAUAACUUUUUAUUUUUGUCCUCACUGGCCUCCAAGUUCUCUAGGAUGAUGCAAUGUCCAGCCAUCAACACAUUUGUGAAGGAAUUUUUACUCGCCAAAAGAGCGCCCCCCCAUGGCAGGAGAAAAAAGUCCAUUUUUUCUUGUCUCCUAAGGCGAAAAUACACAUUGUUGACUGUCACGCCUUUACGCUUUGUCAAAAUGACACAAAAUUUGACACACACAUGUAUCUCAAUAAGAUCUACAAAAAAGUCAGUGCGGGCGUAUCUGUCAAAUGUACGGUUAAAGGGUUAUUUCGCAUUUUUUGCCGAUCCGCACACAUUGGAAUUUCGCUAACUCCUCCUAAAUCUUUUGUCCCAUCGGCUUCAAAUUUGCUCAGGUCAAUUUACACCCCAUGGCCAUUCAAAGUUGUACAAAUCAUGACGCUGCACCCCACAGUUUACGUUCUAGGGGGCGCCAAAGAGGACCCAAAUAUCCACAUUUUUAAAAGUCUUAUAACUUUUUAUUUUUGUCCUCACUGGCCUCCAAGUUUUCUAGGAUGAUGCAAUGUCCAGCCAUCAACACAUUUGUGAAGGAAUUUUUACUCCCCAAAAGAGCGCCCCCCCAUGGCAGGAGAAAAAGUCAAGUUUUUCCUGCCCAUCGCUCAAUGGCUCAAACACAUCGCUCUCUCUGCAAAACCGAAAGGAGGAGCAACUUGCCAUUUGGAUAUAUACUAGCUGUGUUUGUGCCCUCACUCAUGGUCCAGACCUUUUCAAAUAGGACAUGUAGUUUGUCUGCAGUGAGCGUUUUGGUAGAAACUGCGCCUCCCAUUCAUUAUAAUGGUAAAUGACCACAGACAAGUGCGCACACCAUCUUUGGACCUUGAGUGUGACGCGAUCGGGAGGGGUAGGCGGUCGCGCUGGGGGCGGCGCGACACGGCUCGGGCCCGCCAGUGCCCCACCGGGGCCCUAGUUUCUUCUUCUUCUUCUUAUUAUUUUUCUGCCCCUUUGAACUGGAAAAUGGCCCACUUCCCACUGGUGAAAAGUCAUGAAAUUUGGCAGGACGACCGGGCCUGGUGAAAAAUUCGAUAUUCUGAAGUCGCCCAAAAAAUCAAAUGCAAAAUGGCUCCAUAGCGCCCCCUAAGGUGAAAAAUUCACAUGAUUGAGUGUCACGCCUGUACGCUUUGUCAAAAUGACACAAAAUUUGACACACACGUGUAUCUCAAUAAGAUCUACAAAAAAGUCAGUGCGGGCGUAUCUGUCAAAUGUACGGUUAAAGGGCUAUUUCGCAUUUUUUGCCGAUCCGCACACAUUGGAAUUUCGCUAACUCCUCCGAAGGCUUUCGUUCCACCGGCACCAAAUUUGCUCAGGCCAAUCUACACCCCAUGGCCAUUAAAAGUUGUACAAAUCAUGACGCUGCAUCCCACGGUUUACGUUCUAGGGGGCGCCAAAGAUAACCCAGAAAUCCACAUUCUUAAAAGUCGUAUAACUUUUUAUUUUUGUCCUCACUGGCCUCCAAGUUUUCUAGGAUGAUGCAAUGUCCAGCCAUCAACACAUUUGUGAAGGAAUUUUUACUCCCCAAAAGAGCGCCCCCCAUGGCAGGAGAAAAAAGUCCAUUUUUUCUUGUCUCCUAAGGCGAAAAUUCACACUAUUGACUGUCACGCCUUUACGCUUUGUCAUAUUGACACAAAAAUUGACACACACAUGUAUCUCAAUAAGAUCUACAAAAAAGUCAGUGCGGGCGUAUCUGUCAAAUGUACGGUGAAAGGGCUAUUUCGCAUUUUUUGCCGAUCCGCACACAUUGGAAUUUCGCUAACUCCUCCGAAGGCUUUCGUUCCAAAGGCACCACAUUUGCUGAGGCCAAUCUACACCCCAUGGCCAUUAAAAGUUGUACAAAUCAUGACGCUGCACCCCACGGUUUACGUUCUAGGGGGCGCCAAAGAUAACCCAAAAAUCCACAGUCUUAAAAGUCUUAUAACUUUUUAUUUUUGUCCUCACUGGCCUCCAAGUUCUCUAGGAUGAUGCAAUGUCCAGCCAUCAACACAUUUGUGAAGGAAUUUUUACUCGCCAAAAGAGCGCCAACCCCAUGGCAGGAGAAAAAAGUCCAUUUUUUCUUGUCUCCUAAGGCGAAAAUACACAUUGUUGACUGUCACGCCUUUACGUUUUGUCAAAAUGACACAAAAUUUGACACACACAUGUAUCUCAAUAAGAUCUACAAAAAAGUCAGUGCGGGCGUAUCUGUCAAAUGUACGGUUAAAGGGUUAUUUCGCAUUUUUUGCCGAUCCGCACACAUUGGAAUUUCGCUAACUCCUCCUAAAUCUUUUGUCCCAUCGGCUUCAAAUUUGCUCAGGUCAAUCUACACCCCAUGGCCAUUCAAAGUUGUACAAAUCAUGACGCUGCACCCCACAGUUUACGUUCUAGGGGGCGCCAAACAGGACCCAAAUAUCCACAUUUUUAAAAGUCUUAUAACUUUUUAUUUUUGUCCUCACUGGCCUCCAAGUUUUCUAGGAUGAUGCAAUGUCCAGCCAUCAACACAUUUGUGAAGGAAUUUUUUCUCCCCAAAAGAGCGCCCCCCCCAUGGCAGGAGAAAAAGUCAAGUUUUUCCUGCCCAUCGCUCAAUGGCUCAAACGCAUCGCUCUCUCUGCAAAACCGAAAGGAGGAGCAACUUGCCAUUUGGAUAUAUACUAGCUGUGUUUGUGCCCUCACUCAUGGUCCAGACUUUUUUCAAAUAGGACAUGUAGUUUGUCUGCAGCGAGCGUUUUGGUAGAAACUGCGCCUCCCAUUCAUUAUAAUGGGAAAUGACCACAGACAAGUGCGCACACCAUCUUUGGACCUUGAGUGUGACGCGAUCGGGAGGGGGAGGCGGUCGCGCUGGGGGCGGCGCGACGCGGCUCGGGCCCGACAGUGCCCCACCGGGGCCCUAGUCUUCUUAUUAUUUUUCUGCCCCUUUGAACUGGAAAAUGGCCCACUUCCCACUGGUGAAAACUCAUGAAAUUUGGCAGGACGACCGGGCCUGGUGAAAAAUUCGAUAUUCUGAAGUCACCCAAACAAUCAAAUGCAAAAUGGCUCCAUAGCGCCCCCUAAGGUGAAAAAUUCACAUGAUUGAGUGUCACGCCUGUACGCUUUGUCAAAAUGACACAAAAUUUUACACACACGUGUAUCUCAAUAAGAUCUACAAAAAAGUCAGUGCGGGCGUAUCUGUCAAAUGUACGUUUAAAGGGCUAUUUCGCAUUUUUUGCCGAUCCGCACACAUUGGAAUUUCGCUAACUCCUCCGAAGGCUUUCGUUCCACCGGCACCAAAUUUGCUCAGGCCAAUCUACACCCCAUGGCCAUUCAAAGUUGUACAAAUCAUGACGCUGCACCCCACGGUUUACGUUGUAGGGGGCGCCAAAGAUAACCCAAAAAUCCACAUUCUUACAAGUCUUAUAACUUUUUAUUUCUGUCCUCACUGGCCUCCAGGUUUUCUAGGAUGAUGCAAUGUCCAGCCAUCAACACAUUUGUGAAGGAAUUUUUACUCCCCAAAAGAGCGCCCCCCCAUGGCAGGAGAAAAAAGGCCAUUUUUUCUUGUCCUAUAAGGUGAAAAUACACAUUGUUGAGUGUCACGCCUGUACGCUUUGUCAUAUUGAAACAAAAUUUGAUAAUCACGUGUAUCUCAAUAAGAUCUACGAAAAAGUCAAUGCGCACGUGUCUGCAAAAUGUACGGUUAAAGGGCUAUUUCGCAUUUUUGGUUGAUUCGCACACAUUGGAAUGUGGCUAACUCCUCCUAAAGCUUUCGUUCCACCGGCACCAAAUUUGCUCAGGCCAAUCUACACCCCAUGGCCAUUAAAAGUUGUACAAAUCAUGAUGCUGCACCCCACGGUUUACGUUCUAGGGGUCGCCAAAGAUAACCCAAAAAUCCACAUUCUUAAAAGUCUUAUAACUUUUCAUUUUUGUCCUCACUGGCUUCAAAGUUUUCUAGGAUGAUGCAAUGUCCAGCCAUCAACACAUUUGUGAAGGAAUUUUUCUCCCUAAAAGAGUGCCCCCCCAUGGCAGGAGAAAAAAGUCCAUUUUUUCUUGUCCCCUAAGGUGAAAAUACACAUUGUUCAGUGUCACGCCUCUACGCUUUGGCAAAAUGACACAAAAAUUGACACACACAUGUAUCUCAAUAAGAUCUACGAAAAAGUCAAUGUCCGCGUAUCCGUCAAAUGUACGGUUAAAGGGUUAUUCCACAUUUUUUGCCGAUCCGCACACAUUGGAAUUUCGCUAACUCCUCCGAAGGCUUUCGUUCCACCGGCACCAAAUUUGCUCAGGUCAAUCUACACCCCAUGGCCAUUAAAAGUUGUACAAAUCAUGACGCUGCACCCCACGGUUUAGGUUCUAGGGGGCGCCAAAGAUAACCCAAAUAUCCACAUUUUUAAAAGUCUUAUAACUUUAUUUUUGUCCUCACUGGCCUCCAAGUUUUCUAGGAUGAUGCAAUGUCCAGCCAUCAGCACAUGUGCGAAGGAAUUUUUACUCCCCAAAAGAGCGCCCCCCCAUGGCAGGAGAAAAAAGUCCAUUUUUUCUUGUCCCCUAAGGUGAAAAUUCACACUAUUGAGUGUCACGCCUGUACGCUUCGUCAUAUUGACACAUAAUUUGACAAUCACGUGUAUCUCAAUAAGAUCUACGAAAAAGUCAGUGCGGGCAUAUCUGUCAAAUGUACGGUUAAAGGGUUAUUCCGCAUUUUUUGCCGAUCCGCACACAUUGGAAUUACGCUAACUCCUCCUAA